UCCUUGAUUCCCAUGUCUUACCAUUCUGUGAUCAGCACAGAACACAGACCACUCACCAUGGGAUUGGGGCUUACUUGGAUUUUCCUUGUUGCUAUUUUAAAAGGUGUCCAGUGUGAUGCAGAGCUGGUAGAGUCUGGAGGAGGCUUAGUGCAGCCUGGAAAGUCCCUUAAACUCUCCUGUGUGGCCUAUGAAUUCACCUUCAGCAGCUAUGCCAUGAACUGGGUGUGCCAGACUCCAGGGCAGGAGCUGGAGUGGGUCGCAUACAUUAGUAGUGGUAGUAGUAACAUCUACUAUGCCGAUGCCGUGAAUGGGCGAUUCACAAUAUCCAGAGACAAACCCUAUAUCUGCAAAUGA